rnacentral:tRNA from 2 species
GGGCUGUUAGCUCAGCGGUAGAGCAGUGGACUUUUAAUCCAUUGGCCGCGGGUUCAAUCCCCGCACAGCCCACCA